rnacentral:rRNA from 1 species
AGUGAACGCUGGCGGUAGGCCUAACACAUGCAAGUCGAACGGCAGCACAGUAAGAGCUUGCUCUUACGGGUGGCGAGUGGCGGACGGGUGAGGAAUACAUCGGAAUCUACUUUUUCGUGGGGGAUAACGUAGGGAAACUUACGCUAAUACCGCAUACGACCUACGGGUGAAAGCAGGGGAUCUUCGGACCUUGCGCGAUUGAAUGAGCCGAUGUCGGAUUAGCUAGUUGGCGGGGUAAAGGCCCACCGAGGCGACGAUCCGUAGCUGGUCUGAGGGGAUGAUCAGCCACACUGGAACUGAGACACGGUCCAGACUCCUACGGGAGGCAGCAGUGGGGAAUAUUGGACAAUGGGCGCAAGCCUGAUCCAGCCAUACCGCGUGGGUGAAGAAGGCCUUCGGGUUGUAAAGCCCUUUUGUUGGGAAAGAAAAGCAGCAGGUUAAUACCCCGCUGUUCUGACGGUACCCAAAGAAUAAGCACCGGCUAACUUCGUG